rnacentral:rRNA from 1 species
UACAGGGGGCGCGAGCGUUGCUCGGAAUCAUUGGGCGUAAAGCGUGCGCAGGCGGUUUUGUAAGUCUGUCGUGAAAUCCCCGGGCUCAACCUGGGAAUUGCGAUGGAGACUGCAAGGCUAGAAUCUGGCAGAGGGGGGUAGAAUUCCACGUGUAGCAGUGAAAUGCGUAGAGAUGUGGAGGAACACCGAUGGCGAAGGCAGCCCCCUGGGGUCAAGAUUGACGCUCAUGCACGAAAGCGUGGGGAGCAAACGAGGAUUAGAGUACC